rnacentral:rRNA from 1 species
AUUGAACGCUGGCGGCAUGCCUUACACAUGCAAGUCGAACGGCAGCACGGGUGCUUGCCCCUGGUGGCGAGUGGCGAACGGGUGAGUAAUACAUCGGAACAUGUCCUGUAGUGGGGGAUAGCCCGGCGAAAGCCGGAUUAAUACCGCAUACGAUCUACGGAUGAAAGCGGGGGACCUUCGGGCCUCGCGCUAUAGGGUUGGCCGAUGGCUGAUUAGCUAGUUGGUGGGGUAAAGGCCUACCAAGGCGACGAUCAGUAGCUGGUCUGAGAGGACGACCAGCCACACUGGGACUGAGACACGGCCCAGACUCCUACGGGAGGCAGCUGUGGGGAAUUUUGGACAAUGGGCGAAAGCCUGAUCCAGCAAUGCCGCGUGUGUGAAGAAGGCCUUCGGGUUGUAAAGCACUUUUGUCCGGAAAGAAAUCCUUGGCCCUAAUACGGUCGGGGGAUGACGGUACCGGAAGAAUAAGCACCGGCUAACUACGUG